UGGUGUCUCAUGUUCAACUGAUGCUUUUAUAUCUUUAUACAGCCAGCUGAAACAAGACAAUGUCAACAUUGAUUUGAUCAGGGAAAAAGCAACACUUCUUAAGAAGAAAGGAAAAUAUAUUGUGAAUGAAGAACGCCUGCUCCAGUUGUUCAGCAGCACGUGCCCGUCAUGUGGUGGUAAACUUCAGAUGGAGAAGUUCACCAAUGGGGUUCUCAUCAGCUUGAACCAACAGUGCCUUCAGUGUCAGUUCAGAAAUAAAUGGAAAAACCAGGUUAAUGCUGCUGUCCUAACAGCUAAAGAUCAACACCUGACAGGAGGCACAGAUGUUACUCCAGAGACACAACAGUCUCUUUCACAGGAAGUGUCGACAGAUGACCACCAC